CGGGAGAAGCUUAGCCCCCAUUGGCUUGAGCCUCCGUUUUAAAAUUUAAAGAGGCGGGACUUCGGGGGCGUGUGCGGGUCGGAGGCGGGGCCUGCGUCCUGGGACCCUGGAGCCUGGGUGGCGCCUGGAAGGGGUUUGGCGAGUCCCACUCGCUUUAGACUGCUCCUCAGUCUUUUAGGGGACGGAUUCCGAUGACGGAGGCUUGGAUUUUUUUCCCCGUGAAGCUGAACUUCAUAAUCCCCACGCUCGGGAGGCGGAGGGAGCAGGAUUGCGGGUUCCAGGUCAGCCGCGGCUGCCUAGCUAGGCCACCGGAGCGGAUCCUGGGAGCUGUUCUGAUUCAGUGCUAACAAGAUCAAGAGGCAAAUCACCUCCAUUUCUGUAGAUACGUUUUGAACGAGAUUGUUGUUCUUGAAAAUGUGUGCCUAUGUCAGUCACCUUUAGUUUUGUAAAGACAGCAUGUACCUGGCUCGAUAUUUGGCCAAGCUAGCAAAAUGAUGUGUUGUUUUUGCCAGAGGUUAACAUUGGAGAAUGGGGAAAAUUUGUUUCUUAGAGUGGAAAAACAUGCUUGUUUUGAUGUAUAAAUAAAGAUGGCUGGAGCUAUUCAGGGACAGCCACUUGUGUGAAACUCA